CCACGCCCCGCAAGGUGAAAAGUGGGUGAACAGCUUUAAAAGAUGGUUGCUUUAGAAGAGUUGUGUUUAUAUAGUUGGUCUAUAGGGGUGUAAUCUGAUGUAGGCUUAAUGUUUUUUUGGUUUGCUAGAGGGUGAAGCCAUGUGAUCUGUGGUUAGGACCGGGAUUAGAUACCCCGUUACAUCAGGUGUUAAGUAUGAUGUUAAAUAUAUUUGCUAGGCAACUACGCUUUAAUAAGUAAAAGUCGAAACACUUGGCGGUCUAAGAUAGCUCGUCCCGUGAGACUUGACGAUUUAACUGAUAAUCCGCGUUGUAUUAUACUUGUUUUUGAAAAAGUUUGGAUAAUUUUAGGUGUUUUGACUAAGGUUUGAGAGACUUGCAGCUGGUGCAUGGCCGUUGUCAGUCUAUGUUGUGAGAUAAAAUGGUUAAAAUAGGCUGAAUCCGGUUGUGAUAAGGUUCCUUUCGGGCGAAGUCAGGUCGUUAUACCGCCUAUGAACAAGGUUUAGUUGAGUCACAUUAAAAAAAUUAAACAGAAGUUGAUGAAUGAAAAGACAGCUGAAGAAGGAAUGGGUAGUAAUAUAAGAGAAGUGUGCUUGUGUGAAUAGAAAAUUUUUAGGUGUACAAAUCGCCCGUCGUCCCCGGGGAAUUAGACUUGGGUAAGUCGUAC
rnacentral:rRNA from 1 species